rnacentral:rRNA from 1 species
UAAGCAUAUCAAUAAGCGGAGGAAAAGAAACUAACAAGGAUUCCCCUAGUAACUGCGAGUGAAGCGGGAAAAGCUCAAAUUUAAAAUCUGGCGGCUUUUAGUCGUCCGAGUUGUAGUCUGGAGAAGUGUUUUCUGCGCUGGACCGUGUACAAGUCCCUUGGAACAGGGCGUCAUAGAGGGUGAGAAUCCCGUCUUUGACACGGACUACCAGUGCUUUGUGAUGCGCUCUCAAAGAGUCGAGUUGUUUGGGAAUGCAGCUCAAAAUGGGUGGUAAAUUCCAUCUAAAGCUAAAUACAGGCGAGAGACCGAUAGCGAACAAGUACCGUGAGGGAAAGAUGAAAAGCACUUUGGAAAGAGAGUUAAACAGUACGUGAAAUUGCUGAAAGGGAAACACUUGAAGUCAGUCGCGUUGUCCGGAAAUCAACCCUGUUUUAUUGACACGGUGUAUUUUCUGGUUGACGGGCCAGCAUCGAUUUUGAUUGUUGGAUAAAGGUGAAGGGAAUGUGGCACCUUCGGGUGUGUUAUAGCCCUUUGUCACAUACAACGGUUGGGAUCGAGGAACUCAGCACGCCUUUAAUGGUCGGGGUUCGCCCACGUUUCGUGCUUAGGAUGCUGGCAUAAUGGCUUUAAAUGACCCGUCUUGAAACACGGACCAAGGAGUCUAACAUACCUGCGAGUGUUUGGGUGGUAAACCCGAGCGCGUAAUUAAAGUGAAAGUUAAGAUCCCCGUUACAAGGGAGCAUUGACGCCCGGACUUGACCUUUUGUGAUAGCUCUGCGGUAGAGCAUGUAUGUUGGGACCCGAAAGAUGGUGAACUAUGCCUGAAUAGGGUGAAGCCAGAGGAAACUCUGGUGGAGGCUCGUAGCGAUUCUGACGUGCAAAUCGAUCGUCAAAUUUGGGUAUAGGGGCGAAAGACUAAUCGAACCAUCUAGUAGCUGGU